GAUUCUGGCUCAGGAUAAACGACUGGCGGCGCACAUAAGACAUGCAAGUCGAACGGACUUAACUCUUCUUUUAGAUUGAGAGCGGUUAGUGGCGGACUGGUGAGUAACGCGUGAGUAACCUGCCUAUUAGAGGGGGAAUAACAGUGAGAAAUCACUGCUAAUACCGCAUAUGCUCACAGUACCACAUGGUACAGUGAGGAAAGGAGCAAUCCGCUAAUAGAUGGACUCGCGUCUGAUUAGCUAGUUGGUGGGGCAACGGCCUACCAAGGCGACGAUCAGUAGCCGGACUGAGAGGUUGAACGGCCACAUUGGGACUGAGAUACGGCCCAGACUCCUACGGGAGGCAGCAGUCGGGAAUAUUGCGCAAUGGAGGAAAAAACCUCUGACGCAGUGACGCCGCGUAUAGGAAGAAGGUUUUCGGAUUGUAAACUAUUGUCGUUAGGGAAGAAAAAAGACAGUACCUAAGGAGGAAGCCCGGCUAACUAUGUGCCAGCAGCUGC
rnacentral:rRNA from 1 species